rnacentral:rRNA from 1 species
AGAGUUUGAUCCUGGCUCAGAACGAACGUUGGCGGCGUGGAUUAGGCAUGCAAGUCGAACGAAUCCCGUGGGGGUAACUCUGCGGGGGAAGUGGCGAAAGGGGCAGUAAGGCGUGGGUAACCUACCCUGGGGAUCGGGAUAGCCCUCCUAACGGAGGGGUAAUACCGGGCGAUCUGGCGAGGAGGCAUCUUCUUGUCAGGAAAUGAAUCUCGCCUCUGGAGGGGCUCACGUAGUAUUAGCUUGUUGGUGGGGUAAUGGCCCACUAAGGCCAAGAUGCUUAGCGGGUGUGAGAGCACGACCCGCGCCACUGGCACUGAGACACUGGCCAGACUCCUACGGGAGGCUGCAGUCGAGGAUCUUCGGCAAUGGGCGCAAGCCUGACCGAGCGACGCCGCGUGUGCGAUGAAGGCCUUCGGGUUGUAAAGCACUGUCGAGGGGGAGAAAAGCCCGUAAGGGUCUGAUCUAUCCCUGGAGGAAGCACGGGCUAAGUUCGUGCCAGCAGCCGCGGUAAGACGAACCGUGCGAACGUUGUUCGGAUUCACUGGGCUUAAAGGGCGCGUAGGCGGACGGUCAAGUCAGGGGUGAAAUCUUUCAGCUUAACUGGAAAAGUGCCUCUGAUACUGAUCGUCUCGAGGGAGGUAGGGGCAUGUGGAACUUCCGGUGGAGCGGUGAAAUGCGUAGAUAUCGGAAGGAACGCCGGUGGCGAAAGCGACGUGCUGGACCUCUUCUGACGCUGAGGCGCGAAAGCUAGGGGAGCAAACGGGAUUAGAUACCCCGGUAGUCC